rnacentral:misc_RNA from 1 species
AUAUCUCAAAUCCUCAGGCUUUUUUAUCGGAGCCUUGUGGAUCUUGGUCUUGGGCGUCUGCCGUUGCGAUUUGUGACGGCUCGUCCGAAAUGCAUUAGUUGAGCCGGCUUGAUCGGUUAUCCUGACUGAGAUAAGACUCACGUCGCGAUACCGUCUAAUAGGUUGAACUUCUAAUCGUCUUUGUUCGAAGACAAUUCAAAACUGAUU